AAUCAGAGAGUUGUGUGAUAUAUUUGUGACGGCGCUGGUUUACGAGACAUAGAGACUAUGAAGAUGACUGGAGCUCCGGCCGCUUCCGUAGCUUAUUUCCAUAACCAACGAGCGGCAGUGUGGAUCGUCGGAGAUAACCAACACACUCAGUCCUAACCGUUUGUCAUCUGAUUUCCUGUCAGACGGCUAUCACUUCGUCGAGAGUUAGGGAAGACGAUGAUGACGACGAGACCGCAGUUUGAUUUGGAGUUAAGCGAGAGUGAUUUAUUAGAUCUGAAGCAUCAAAGGCUCCACCUACAAUUUUCUAGUACAAAACAUCGCAAUUGAUGUCAUCAAUCGAAUUUUCAAAGUGUUGAAAUCGAUUCAAUCAAAAUUUUCUCGUAAUCAAACGUCAUUUAGAAAAAUGGUGAGAUACUUUGCUAAAUGAAAUAUUAG
rnacentral:sRNA from 1 species